rnacentral:rRNA from 1 species
AGUAAAUAGAUACCCAGGUAGUCCACGCCGUAAACGAUGUCGACUUGGAGGUUGUGCCCUUGAGGCGUGGCUUCCGGAGCUAAACGCGUUAAGUCGACCGCCUGGGGAGUACGGCCGCAAGGUUAAAACUCAAAUGAAUUGACGGGGCCCGCACAAGCGGUGGAGCAUGUGGUUUAAUUCGAUGCAACGCGAAGAACCUUACCUACUCUUGACAUACAGAGAACUUAGCAGAGAUGCUUUGGUGCCUUCGGGUAACUCUGAGACAGGUGCUGCAUGGCUGUCGUCAGCUCGUGUUGUGAAAUGUUGGGUUAAGUCCCGCAACAAGCGCAACCCUUAUCCUUUGUUGCCAGCGGUUAGGCCGGGAACUCAAACGGAGACUGCCAGUGAUAAACUGGAGGAAGGUGGGGUAUGACGUCAAGUCAUCAUGGCCCGUUACGAGUAGGGCUACACACGUGCUACAAUGGCGCAUACAAAGAGAAGCGACCUCGCGAGAGCAAGCGGACCGUCAUAAAGUGCGUCGUAGUCCGG